GACGAACGCUGGCGGCGUGCUUAACACAUGCAAGUCGAACGGAAAGGCCAUGCUUUUGUGGGGUGCUCGAGUGGCGAUCGGGUGAGUAACACGUGAGUAACCUGCUCUUGACUUUGGGAUAACUUCAGGAAACUGGGGCUAAUACCGGAUAGGAGCUCCUGCUGCAUGGUGGGGGUUGGAAUGUUUCGGCGGUUGUGGAUGGACUCGCGGCUUAUCAGCUUGUUGGUGGGGUAGUGGCUUACCAAGGCUUUGACGGGUAGCCGGCCUGAGAGGGUGACCGGCCACAUUGGGACUGAGAUACGGCCCAGACUCCUACGGGAGGCAGCAGUGGGGAAUAUUGCACAAUGGGCGGAAGCCUGAUGCAGCAACGCCGCGUGCGGGAUGACGGCCUUCGGGUUGUAAACCGCUUUCGCCUGUGACGAAGCGUGAGUGACGGUAAUGGGUAAAGAAGCACCGGCUAACUACGUG
rnacentral:rRNA from 1 species